CAGCCGCCGCGGUAAUACGUAGGUGGCAAGCGUUGUCCGGAAUUAUUGGGCGUAAAGGGCUCGCAGGCGGUUUCUUAAGUCUGAUGUGAAAGCCCCCGGCUCAACCGGGGAGGGUCAUUGGAAACUGGGAAACUUGAGUGCAGAAGAGGAGAGUGGAAUUCCACGUGUAGCGGUGAAAUGCGUAGAGAUGUGGAGGAACACCAGUGGCGAAGGCGACUCUCUGGUCUGUAACUGACGCUGAGGAGCGAAAGCGUGGGGAGCGAACAGGAUUAGAUACCCGUGUAGUCCCUGUCUCUUAUAA
rnacentral:rRNA from 1 species